rnacentral:rRNA from 1 species
AUGAUGAAUUCAACGCAAGAUCCUGCUGGUAGGAUACCGAGUACAACACAACGACUACUUGUUAGGGAUGCGUCAGGUAAUGUGCACCCUUCAGAGGAAAAUGAUGAUGCACAUUACUCCUUUCAGCAAGUAAAGAAAGGAUAUGUUCUCGUAACAAGGAUGGAAAGUAUAACAGCUUACAAAAACCAACAUGGACAACACAGAUCUGGAACUCAAGAACAACCUGACACUCAUGUGUCUGCUAAUAACGUGUGUGCACUGGAUGGAUGGCCAUCCCAUGCUCGCCGCAACCGUGCACAACUACAGAAUGAAGAAGAAAGGGCGAGGUGUUCUAAAAGGUUCUAA